rnacentral:rRNA from 1 species
GACGAACGCUGGCGGCGUGCCUAAUACAUGCAAGUUGAGCGAUGAAGAUUGGUGCUUGCACCAAUUUGAAGAGCAGCGAACGGGUGAGUAACGCGUGGGGAAUCUGCCUUUGAGCGGGGGAGAACAUUUGGAAACGAAUGCUAAUACCGCAUAACAACUUUAAACAUAAGUUUUAAGAAUGAAAGAUGCAAUUGCAUCACUCAAAGAUGAUCCCGCGUUGUAUUAGCUAGUUGGUCAGGUCAAGGCUCACCAAGGCGAUGAUACAUAGCCGACCUGAGAGGGAGCUGGACCAAAUUGAGAAUGCCACCAGGCCCAACAUCCUACGGGAGGCAGCAGUAGGGUAUCUUCGGCAAUAGACGAAAGUCUGACCGAGCAACGCCGCGUGAGUGAAGAAGGUUUUCGGAUCGUAAAACUAUGUUGGUAGAGAAGAACUUUGGUGAGAGUGGAAAGCUCAUAAAGUGACGGUAACUUCCCAGACAGGGACGGCUACCUACGUG